rnacentral:tRNA from 1 species
CUCGCCAUAGCUCAGUUGGAAGAGCACCGGACUGUAAAAAUCCGUAGGUCCCCCGUUCGAACCGGGGUGGCGAGA